rnacentral:rRNA from 1 species
UACGUAGGGUCCGAGCGUUGUACGGAAUUACUGGGCGUAAAGGGCUCGUAGGCGGCCAACUAAGUCAGACGUGAAAUCCCUCGGCUUAACCGGGGAACUGCGUCUGAUACUGGAUGGCUUGAGUUCGGGAGAGGGAUGCGGAAUUCCAGGUGUAGCGGUGAAAUGCGUAGAUAUCUGGAGGAACACCGGUGGCGAAGGCGGCAUCCUGGACCGAGACUGACGCUGAGGAGCGAAAGCCAGGGGAGCAAACGGG